UGCGAGGAAGAAAUACGCCGGCGUACACACGUGUCUCGGACCCUGCAUACAUGAUAGGGACAGUCAGCUAGUAGCUAGUGAGCUAAAAUAAAAUAACCUUAUCUAGCUAGCCACUUGAUUACUCGACCAUGGACCUACCUGCAGAUAUCAAAGCGUUCCUUAUGAAUCACCCAUUUCUUGAAUUUACGGAUGACGGUAAAAAGAUUAAAUGCACACUCAAUGGACAUGAUUGUCCUUGCAACCUCACAGAGCUCCAGAACUUCACGAAAGGGAAGAAAUAUCAGAAACUAAGUUCUACCGCAGAGUUCAACUAUGGUCAAUAUGAACCUCAUGUUGUGCCCAGCUCGAAGCAACCCAAUCAUCUCUUCUGCAAGUUAACACUCAGACAUAUCAAUCGCCUGCCACACCAGGUCUUACGGCAUGUCAAUGGCAAGCGGUUCCAAAAAGCAAAGAAGAAAUAUGAAGCGUGUGUACAACAGGGAGUGGAGUACAUUCCAGCCAGCCUCCGACAGAAGAAGCCCAGAGAUAGAGAUGGUGAGAGGGGACGCAACACCCAUCGGGGGAAUACCCAGCGGGGGAAUGUAGCGUGGGCUCCUGACUCCAGCGACGAGGGUGGCAGCGACUCCGAGGACAGCAUGAGUGACCUGUACCCAUCCUCUUUAUUUUCUCUGCAAAAAGAGACUGAGGAGGAUAUGGAGGCGGAAAAAGAGGAUGACUUUAAAACGGAUGACGAUGAGGAGAUGGAAGUUGAUAAACAGGCGCCACAGAAACGCAAAAAGGUUCAGUCUGGUGGAUUCCAGAAGAAAUUCAAGAAUCAUAACUUGAAAAGAAAAGGUUUAAAGACCAAUGUGAAAGUAAAAAAUGUAAAAUAAAGGUAGCUUGCCUGGCUGGUCGCCGCAACAUCAACAAACAAAUGGAUGAAGGACAACACAAAGACAGUUUAAUGCAAAUUGUAUUCGCAUACUGCCGAGUCUACUUUUUAAGUGAUGUUUAUGAGAUAUAUAUGUAUAAAAAAAAGUUGGGAGCCAACAAUAUCUCCUAAACUGAGAACAUUGGCAGGAGGCAUCUUGGGUCCUUGCUCUCAACAGUUGUUAGCCAUGAUAACUUCAUCCCCAAGGUUCACGUGGUGUGACUGUCGCAAACACAAGAUUCAUGUCAAAGACACCAAUGAGCUGUGCCUGCAAUGUCUGGGCAUCCAACAUGCCAAGGAGGCUGUUCUGGAGUAUGGGAAAUGCCCCCAGUGUGCCAAGAUGGACUGGAGCAACUGCAUCAACCGCCUCACCAAAGUUCAGGAGAUAAUGCACCAUGAGAGCCAGCAGAGGAAGCAUGAGGCAGCACUGUCUGAAGUUAAGCUCAAGUCUGAGACCACCUCAGCUCCCAUCAAGGAACCAAAACUGGAGGAAGACCCAGUCCCCAUUCUGCCUCCACCUCGGCCCUCUACUACCACACCUGUCUAUUCGUCCACCAUGCCAGUGUUGUUCACCAUCCUCUCCCCGCACCCAGCGCAGACAGGGCCCAAUUCCAGCAUCCCAAAAGACACUUUCCUCUCACAACUUGCUAUUCAGCAGUCAGCUGACCACCCCAUCCAUGAGCCAAUCAGGUUCCCACAUGCUGACUUCCAGGGUUCGGCAAACAACACCAUUUCUCAAAAUGCCGCUCGCACUGCACCAAGCACUUCAAACGGAGCCGUGGUAGCCUCCGGCGGAGACGCUCUCCAUCUUCCUCGUCUUCCUCCUCCUACUGACUUCUGCUCCUCUGGAAAGUGGAGGAGGUCUCAGAGAGAGUCGCGGCAGGCUGUCCGGUCAGAGAGGAGACACAGGGAGCAGGUGGAGAUGGUUCAACAGAGACUAGAGGCCCAGCAACAGGCCACCCAGCUACAGUGGGCAGUUCUGGAGAAGUGCAUUGAGGCUCUGGAGAGGAAAGGUGCAGAAGCUGUUGUGUCAUUCCCCACUUCAGCCCAAACUACACAUCUUCAUGCCUCCAUCCCUCAGGCAUCCACCUUGUCUCAGGAAAGCGAGCAGAGAGACUUAUCUCCCAUACCAUUGUGAAGCAGGAAGAGGAGCCCUCCUCCAUCUCAUCUGCCUUGAGACCUUUCAGGGAUGUGGAAGGGGAGGAUGCCUCUCCGUCAACUGAUGGUCCUAUCUCCAAACAGGACUUACUGGCAGCUAAGGAGCUUCAGAGCCUCAUAGCACGAGCCGCCAAGUAUCUUGGCAUAGACUUCACCAACCAGCUCUAGCCCACCAGACUCUACCAUGGUUCCAGAGUUUGAGGACCUGGUUCAGUGCUCUUGGCCAAACCCUGCCAGCUUGAAGCCGUACAGGGAGCUGUUCUCCAAGAUGUACAGGCUUCACAACUGCCAGUCUCCAGCCUACAACCAGAUGCCUCAGGUCAACUGCUUUAUGUCGGCCAUCUUCCAGGCGAUGAAGCCCACAGAGAACAAGGAGGCGCCGGUCCUGGCUGAGCGAUUGCGUUUCACUGAGACUCUAGUAGAGAAGAUGUACCAGACUGCUAGCAUGUUUGCCAAGACGGCCAACUACCUGCGCUACCUAUCCGACUACCAGAGGAGGCUGCUGCUGGAGAUCACUGAGGAUCGUUCAGCACAGAGUUAUGUGGCGAUCCUCAAUGAGCUGAAGAUCAUUGGCCAGUUCACGCUUCAGCUGUCCUCCCACCUAGGCUGAACUGUCUGGAAGGGUCAUGGCUUCUUCUGUAGCCAUCCGAAGACCGGUCUGGAUGGCCAAGACCAACUACACAGACUCUGAAAGCCACUGUGGCUGACCUUCCAUUUGUGUCAGUCACACCUAUGGGGUCAGCUCAGCUUCAGGCCCUAGCGCGACUGGAAUGAUGUGCAAACAGGAACCGUCGUAAUGGCUACUUGUUGCAGGUGUAAAAAGUGUGAGAAGUAUUUACUUUUACCUGUACUAAAUGGGUUGAGACCACUAAAUUAUUCACUUGUAGAUAUGCAAAUAUUCUCUAUAGUCUUAUUGGACAGUUUUUUAUUUAACCGGGCAAAUCAGUUAAGAACAAAUACUUAUUUACAAUGACAGCCUACCCCGGAUUACACUGGGCCAAUUCUGCGCUGCCCUAUGGGACUCCCAAUCUAAACCAGAUGUGAUGCAGCCUGGAUUUGAACCAGGGACUGCAGUGACGCCUCUUGCACUGAGAUGCCGUGCCUUAAACCGCUGUGUCACUCGGACAUGAACAGUUCAAUGAACUUUGAUAGUGUUUACUUUAUCAAGGAAUUUUGCAACUGUUGAACAAAGGCAGUGUAGUGUCUGUCUCUACUGCAUUGACUGC